GAGAAUUGGCUGCGGACUCGCUCCUAUUUUUGGAUAGAAUUAUCGGUGUUUGUCAUGGAGUACCUCUCAAAAAUGCCCGUUGCAUUGUUAUCCCUUGUCACAUUUCUCAUUAAUGUUAUGAAGGCUUCAAAAGGGUGUCCUAUUACCUUCGUUCACAUGGCUGAUUGUUUUGAUAGAUAGUUCAAAAUGAAGAUAAGUUGAAACCACUUGAACCUGGGAAGAUUGGAGUUCUUGCAAUCAAAGAAAUUUUAAGUUAGAGUAUUAUCAGGAGAAAUUGCUGAAUGAAGGAUUUUAGGUGGUUCUUCCAGCCAAAACAACUAUGGAACAUACCGUAAUUCCUGCAAUUGAGGCUCUAAUAGAAACAGAAAGGACAUAGAAGAGGCAAGGAAUUUACUAGGAAUUGCACUUC
rnacentral:lncRNA from 1 species